rnacentral:rRNA from 1 species
GAUGAACGCUGGCGGCGUGCUUAACACAUGCAAGUCGAACGAAGCACUUUAUCUGAUUUUCUUCGGAAAUGAAGAUUUUGUGACUGAGUGGCGGACGGGUGAGUAACGCGUGGAUAACCUGCCUCAUACAGGGGGAUAACAGCCGGAAACGGCUGCUAAUACCGCAUAAGCGCACGGUACCGCAUGGUACAGUGUGAAAAACUCCGGUGGUAUGGGAUGGAUCCGCGUCUGAUUAGCCAGUUGGCGGGGUAACGGCCCACCAAAGCGACGAUCAGUAGCCGACCUGAGAGGGUGACCGGCCACAUUGGGACUGAGACACGGCCCAAACUCCUACGGGAGGCAGCAGUGGGGAAUAUUGCACAAUGGGGGAAACCCUGAUGCAGCAACGCCGCGUGAGUGAUGACGGUCUUCGGAUUGUAAAGCUCUGUCUUUAGGGACGAUAAUGACGGUACCUAAGGAGGAAGCCACGGCUAACUACGUG